UAAUGUAUUUUAAUUUAAUUUUAGUGCUAGAAGUAAUGGUGAAGAGUCACAUAACUUAUUGUCUUCGCUUCAUUAAAAUUUGUGUAUUUCCAAUUGCUGAAACGAACAAGCAACUACAAUAAAUUAUGAAGGAUGAGUUGUUUCUUUAAUUGAACAGUGACCAGGUUACAAGUUUAACAAUUUAUUAAAAAAUUUGUACUUCAAGGAAUUAGUAUAAAUAUGUUCUCAGUGUAUGUACAGGUUUUCUUGGUUCAAGAAAAUCUAUAUUCUCGCAUGACUGAAGAUCGGUCGCAUGCGAGCCGAAGAAAAUGCUAAUCUUGACCAGGUGCUCGAUUACGGCCCUCUUGCUUGUAGGACAAAGUCAUUUGUUAACCCUGCCACACUAAAACUGGGUUAUCGGAAACUGGACGACAUUGAGGACGUAUUAUUUGAUAUUGUACAAUGUCAAACGACGAGAAGAGAAUCGCGAUCUUUCAGAGACUCGUUAUAUGGCGUUUUGUUUCUUUAGAUACUUAUCGAAUUUCUUUGUUAUUUAUUCUUAUGUAACUAACUAAAGGUACACGUGUCUUUAGCAAAAUCCGUUCAUGCACCUACGUAGAAAUAUCAAUAUUAUUGUUUGGAAGUAUAACUAAAAUUCAGCUAUCGACGUGCAUGUCUGAAUGACUGAGUACGUAAGUGCUCGUAAGUAAGCGCUUCAUAUUUCAUGAACGGUAUGUCAACGUUUCCUAGCGAUACCGUUUAUAACAAAAUCGAAAACUUCAGCAAACGCGAAAAAGCUUAAACAUACCGUUUGACGUAUAUAUUUGUGUUUAACAAUCAAAAAUUUCCUGCCAAACUAUUUAACUUUUGGCCGGACGUAAGUUUGGUUAAUUUUGAAUAAUAAACAAGAGACGUAAAAUCAAUUCUUCGCGAAGAAAGUCAAUACUACAUUAUUUAGAAUAGAUUAGCGAAUAGGUGAAGAUUAAUACUGCCUCGUUUUCUUUUUGAUUUUUUAAUUUCUUUCUUAUUUUUAGUCCUUACUCAUUACGACCAGCGAAACUAUCAACGAAAAUCAAUAGUGGGCAAGCCGUAGAUCGAGUAUAGAAAAGGUCGUCGUGUAUUUCGUCGACGACACGCGAACAGUCUAAUAUUACCUGAUGAAAACAACCAAACUCAUAUAGCGUUUCAUGAGUUACGGUCGAAUAACUUUUCCUAGGAUGUGUGAAUUAUUAUGACGCGACAAAGGUAUAUGAUAAAUCAGCUAGAAAGCUGAAGAUACCUGAAAUCUAGGAAAGUCAAGCAUCGAUGAAAAUGAAUAGAUACAUAACUUUGAAUCAGCUGGGCGAUGGAACUUUCGGUUCCGUCGUUCUUGGAGAACGCAUCGACACCGGUGAGAAAGUUGCUAUAAAAAGAAUGAAGAGAAAAUACUACUCCUGGGAGGAAGCGAUGAAUUUGCGCGAAGUUAAAUCCUUGAAGAAACUCAGUCACGCGAACGUUGUGAAACUAAAGGAAGUAAUACGCGAGAAUGACGUAUUAUACUUUGUCUUUGAAUACAUGAAAGAAAAUCUUUACCAGUUGAUGAAGGAUAGGGACAAACUGUUCCCUGAAUCAGUGAUCAGAAAUAUAGUAUACCAGGUACUGCAAGGUCUGGCGUUCAUGCAUAAACAUGGUUUCUUCCAUCGCGACAUGAAACCUGAAAAUUUAUUAUGCAUGGGACCAGAAUUGGUGAAGAUUGCUGAUUUUGGAUUAGCCAGAGAAAUACGGUCAAGACCUCCUUAUACGGACUAUGUAUCUACGAGAUGGUACAGAGCACCAGAAGUGCUGCUCCAUUCCACAACUUAUAACAGUCCAAUCGACAUUUGGGCAGUUGGUUGCAUCAUGGCAGAAUUGUACACGUUUCGACCACUGUUCCCUGGGAAAAGCGAGAUCGACGAGAUCUUCAAAAUAUGUUCCGUAAUCGGCACCCCAGAGAAAGAUGACUGGCCAGAGGGGUAUCAAUUAGCUGCUGCCAUGAAUUUCAAGUUUCCAAACUUUACUCGCACGUCGUUGAGCGUUUUAAUACCAAAUGCCAGCCAAGAAGCGGUGAUACUCAUGGAAGACAUGUUGCGAUGGAACCCUAUAAAAAGACCGACAGCUCAACAAUCUUUGAGGUAUCCAUAUUUUCAAGUAAACGUUCAACGUCCGAUUAACAGCAAGAAGAUUGGAGUUACCUCUCAGCGAGAUCUUGUUCUAAACAAAGUGAAUCUUCCACCUCCCAUGCCCAAGCAGUACUACUCGCAGCAAGAUAUUCUUAACACGUUGGAAUCCAGAGCGCAAGAGAAAAUGAUGCAACCGGCGCAAGAGCAACCGAUGCUGCCCUUACUGAAUCAUAACAAUUACGUGCGCGAAACCAAUCCUACAAAAAUGGACGAAGACGAUUUUGCCGAGCUCUUAGGAAGCAAGAUCGUUCCCGAGAACGCAAUCCUUGCCCCAGAACGAGUGUAUAAAGAGAACCGUGCCAACUGGAACGACAAUUAUUUGCCAGACAAUCCGAAACAGAGCAAUGGAAACUGGGUGUUGCCUCACUGGAACGAACCGGCCACGAUAAGUUGGAAUCAAUCGCAGUCAAGCUUGAAAAAUGGCCGAAAAGUGUCGGGAAAACAACAUUACUUCAGCGUGGCUCGGUACGUCACAGGGCAGAGCACAAGUUUGUCGUCCAGGUAUCGAACGUUUCGAGAUGUUCUAAAGAGAAUCCUGAUCCCCUGUUCACUGCUAAUACUGGGAUACACGCUGGUGUGCUGUUUAAUCUGGAAAAAUGAACUUCAUAAGCAUCCUCGUUAUUGUUUAUUUCUGCUAAAGAAGUUUGCCAUGAAAGAACUUUCAUUACAAACUUUUAACUAAUCUAAAAUUGUCAUGUGAUUUUUUAGUGAAGAAAAUUUAAUUGAUUAUUAGAACGUGAAUCAGAAACGGCGACGUCGAAUCAAAUCGACCGAGGCUGAUGCGGAAUUUGGUUGGACAACCGAUGGAAAAGUAUGAA
rnacentral:misc_RNA from 1 species